UUACUUAGCACCACUAUUUUAGUAGGUGGUGCGUUAGGCUGUUUACUGGAUAACAUCAUCCCAGGUAACGCAAAAGACCGUGGAUUGGAAGCUUGGGCGAAGGAAAUGGAGCUGCCCGAUCGCGCGACUGACAAGAAAACCGACGAAGUGUCUGAUGUUGAGUACACCUGGAAUACCUUCGAUUUACCGUUCGGAAUGAGUCUGUUGAGAAGGUGGAAAUGGA